AUGGGAGCACUAGAAGGGAAUGAGGAACUGGGUUCCAUGGGAGCACUAGGAUGUUUGGGUUUAGAACUGGGUUUCUCAGUGGGUAGGGAGGAACUGGGUUCCAUGGUAGCACUAGUAGGGAAUGAGGAACUGGGUUCCAUGGGAGCACUAGUAGGGAAUAAGAAACUGGGUUCCAUGGGAGCACUAGGUUGUUCUGGUUUAGAACUGGGUUUUUCAGUGGGUAGGGAGGAACUGGGUUCUAUGGGAGCACUAGAAGGGAAUGAGAAGCUGGGUUCCAUGAGAGCACUAGAAGGGAAUGAGGAACUGGGUUCCAUGGGAGCACUAGUAGGGAAUGAGAUACUGGGCUCCAUGGGAGCACUAGGAUGUUCGGGUUUAGAACUGGGUUGUUCAGUGGGCAGGGAGGAACUGGGUUCUAUGGGAGCACUAGUAGGGAAUGAGAAACUGGGUUCCAUGGGAGCACGAGGUUGUUCGGCUUUAGAAUUGGGUUUUUCAGUGGGUAGGGAGGAACUGGGCUUCAUGGGAGCACUAGGUUGUGCUGGUUUAGAACUGGGUUUUUCAGUGGUUAGGGAGGAACUGGGCUUCAUUGGAGCACUAGGUUGUUCUGGUUUAGAACUGGGUUUUUCAGUGGGUAGGGAGGAACUGGGUUCUAUGGGAGCAUUAGUAGGGAAUGAGAAACUGGGUUCCAUGGAAGCACAAGUAGGGAAUGAGGAACUGGGUUCCACGGGAGCACUAGGUUGUUCUGGUUUAGAACUGGGUUUUUCAGUGGGGAGGAAAGUACUGGGUUCCAUGGAAGCACUAGUAGGGAAUGAGAAACUGGGUUCCAUGGGAGCACUACGUUGUUCGGGUUUAGAACUGGGUUUUUCAGUGGGUAGGAAGGAACUGGGUUCCAUGGGAGCACUAGUAGGGAAUAAGAAACUGGGUUCCAUGGGAGCACUAGGUUGUUCUGGUUUAGAACUGGGUUUUUCAGUGGGGAGGAUGGUACUGGGUUCCAUAGAAGCACUAAUAGGGAAUGAGAAACUGGUUUCCAUGGGAGCACUAGGUUGUUCGGCUUUAGAACUGGGUUUCUCAGUGGGUAGGGAGGGACUGGGUUCCAUGGGAGCACUAGGUUGUUCGGGUUGA
ensembl:lncRNA